UGGCGAACGGGUGAGUAAUACGUGAGUAACCUACCUUUAACUCUGGGAUAAGCCUGGGAAACUGGGUCUAAUACCGGAUACGACCAAUCUCCGCAUGGGGUGUUGGUGGAAAGCGUUAUGUAGUGGUUAUAGAUGGGCUCACGGCCUAUCAGCUUGUUGGUGAGGUAACGGCUCACCAAGGCGACGACGGGUAGCCGGCCUGAGAGGGUGACCGGCCACACUGGGACUGAGACACGGCCCAG
rnacentral:rRNA from 1 species